GAUGAACGCUGGCGGCGUGCCUAAUACAUGCCAGUCGAGCGAACGGACGAGAAGCUUGCUUCUCUGAUGUUAGCGGCGGACGGGUGAGUAACACGUGGAUAACCUACCUAUAAGACUGGGAUAACUUCGGGAAACCGGAGCUAAUACCGGAUAAUAUUUUGAACCGCAUGGUUCAAAAGUGAAAGACGGUCUUGCUGUCACUUAUAGAUGGAUCCGCGCUGCAUUAGCUAGUUGGUAAGGUAACGGCUUACCAAGGCAACGAUGCAUAGCCGACCUGAGAGGUGGAUCGGCCACACGGGAACUGGGACAGGGUCCAAACCCCGAGGGGAGGCAGCGGAGGGGAAUCUUCGGCAUGGGGCGAAAGCCUGACGGAGAAACGCCGCGGAAGUGAGAAGGGUCUUCGGAUCGUAAAACUCUGUUAUUGGGGAAGACCAAAGGUGUAGUAACUGUGCACAUCUUGACGGUACCUAAUCAGAAAGCCACGGCUAACUACGUG
rnacentral:rRNA from 1 species